rnacentral:rRNA from 1 species
GACGAACCGUGCGAACGUUAUUCGGAAUCACUGGGCUUAAAGCGCGUGUAGGCGGGCCGGCACGUCGGUCGCUGAAAUCCCCCGGCUCAACCGGGGAAGGGGCGCCGAUACGACCGGCCUGGAGGGGCGUAGGGGGACCGGGAACUUCCGGUGGAGCGGUGAAAUGCGUAGAUAUCGGAAGGAACAUCGGUGGCGAAAGCGGCGCGCUGGACCUCUUCUGACGCUGAGGCGCGAAAGCCAGGGGAGCAAACGGG